ACUCGUGAACUGUGGGGCUUAAACUCUCCCCCUGCAGAUCCGAGUGCGGGGAAACCCGUUUACCGACCCACAAGGAG
ncrna:unclassified sequences L20-Deltaproteobacteria ribosomal protein leader